rnacentral:rRNA from 1 species
UACGAAGGGGGCGAGCGUUGUUCGGAAUUACUGGGCGUAAAGGGCACGUAGGCGGCUCGGCAAAUCGGUCGUGGAAUCCCGACGCUUACCGUCGGAACGGCGGCCGAAAAUACCGGGCUCGAGGGCGUGAGGGGUCACUGGAACUCCUGGUGAAGCGGUGAAAUGCGUAGAUAUCAGGAGGAACGCCGGAGGCGAAAGCGAGUGACUGGCGCGUUCCUGACGCUGAGGUGCGAAAGCUAGGGGAGCAAACAGG